rnacentral:rRNA from 1 species
GAUGAACGCUGGCGGCGUGCCUAAUACAUGCAAGUCGAGCGAACGGACGAGAAGCUUGCUUCUCUGAUGUUAGCGGCGGACGGGUGAGUAACACGUGGAUAACCUACCUAUAAGACUGGGAUAACUUCGGGAAACCGGAGAUAAUACCGGAUAAUAUUUUGAACCGCAUGGUUCAAAAGUGAAAGACGGUCUUGCUGUCACUUAUAGAUGGAUCCGCGCUGCAUUAGCUAGUUGGUAAGGUAACGGCUUACCAAGGCAACGAUGCAUAGCCGACCUGAGAGGGUGAUCGGCCACACUGGAACUGAGACACGGUCCAGACUCCUACGGGAGGCAGCAGUAGGGAAUCUUCCGCAAUGGGCGAAAGCCUGACGGAGCAACGCCGCGUGAGUGAUGAAGGUCUUCGGAUCGUAAACCUCUGUUAUUAGGGAAGAACAUAUGUGUAAGUAACUGUGCACAUCUUGACGGUACCUAAUCAGAAAGCCACGGCUAACUACGUG